rnacentral:rRNA from 1 species
UUAAGCGACUAAGCGUACACGGUGGAUGCCCUGGCAGUCAGAGGCGAUGAAGGACGUGCUAAUCUGCGAUAAGCGUCGGUAAGGUGAUAUGAACCGUUAUAACCGGCGAUUUCCGAAUGGGGAAACCCAGUGUGAUUCGUCACACUAUCAUUAACUGAAUCCAUAGGUUAAUGAGGCGAACCGGGGGAACUGAAACAUCUAAGUACCCCGAGGAAAAGAAAUCAACCGAGAUUCCCCCAGUAGCGGCGAGCGAACGGGGAGCAGCCCAGAGCCUGAAUCAGUGUGUGUGUUAGUGGAAGCGUCUGGAAAGGCGCGCGAUACAGGGUGACAGCCCCGUACACAAAAAUGCACAUGCUGUGAGCUCGAUGAGUAGGGCGGGACACGUGGUAUCCUGUCUGAAUAUGGGGGGACCAUCCUCCAAGGCUAAAUACUCCUGACUGACCGAUAGUGAACCAGUACCGUGAGGGAAAGGCGAAAAGAACCCCGGCGAGGGGAGUGAAAAAGAACCUGAAACCGUGUACGUACAAGCAGUGGGAGCACGCUUAGGCGUGUGACUGCGUACCUUUUGUAUAAUGGGUCAGCGACUUAUAUUCUGUAGCAAGGUUAACCGAAUAGGGGAGCCGAAGGGAAACCGAGUCUUAACUGGGCGUUAAGUUGCAGGGUAUAGACCCGAAACCCGGUGAUCUAGCCAUGGGCAGGUUGAAGGUUGGGUAACACUAACUGGAGGACCGAACCGACUAAUGUUGAAAAAUUAGCGGAUGACUUGUGGCUGGGGGUGAAAGGCCAAUCAAACCGGGAGAUAGCUGGUUCUCCCCGAAAGCUAUUUAGGUAGCGCCUCGUGAAUUCAUCUCCGGGGGUAGAGCACUGUUUCGGCAAGGGGGUCAUCCCGACUUACCAACCCGAUGCAAACUGCGAAUACCGGAGAAUGUUAUCACGGGAGACACACGGCGGGUGCUAACGUCCGUCGUGAAGAGGGAAACAACCCAGACCGCCAGCUAAGGUCCCAAAGUCAUGGUUAAGUGGGAAACGAUGUGGGAAGGCCCAGACAGCCAGGAUGUUGGCUUAGAAGCAGCCAUCAUUUAAAGAAAGCGUAAUAGCUCACUGGUCGAGUCGGCCUGCGCGGAAGAUGUAACGGGGCUAAACCAUGCACCGAAGCUGCGGCAGCGACGCUUAUGCGUUGUUGGGUAGGGGAGCGUUCUGUAAGCCUGCGAAGGUGUGCUGUGAGGCAUGCUGGAGGUAUCAGAAGUGCGAAUGCUGACAUAAGUAACGAUAAAGCGGGUGAAAAGCCCGCUCGCCGGAAGACCAAGGGUUCCUGUCCAACGUUAAUCGGGGCAGGGUGAGUCGACCCCUAAGGCGAGGCCGAAAGGCGUAGUCGAUGGGAAACAGGUUAAUAUUCCUGUACUUGGUGUUACUGCGAAGGGGGGACGGAGAAGGCUAUGUUGGCCGGGCGACGGUUGUCCCGGUUUAAGCGUGUAGGCUGGUUUUCCAGGCAAAUCCGGAAAAUCAAGGCUGAGGCGUGAUGACGAGGCACUACGGUGCUGAAGCAACAAAUGCCCUGCUUCCAGGAAAAGCCUCUAAGCAUCAGGUAACAUCAAAUCGUACCCCAAACCGACACAGGUGGUCAGGUAGAGAAUACCAAGGCGCUUGAGAGAACUCGGGUGAAGGAACUAGGCAAAAUGGUGCCGUAACUUCGGGAGAAGGCACGCUGAUAUGUAGGUGAAGUGAUUUACUCAUGGAGCUGAAAUCAGUCGAAGAUACCAGCUGGCUGCAACUGUUUAUUAAAAACACAGCACUGUGCAAACACGAAAGUGGACGUAUACGGUGUGACGCCUGCCCGGUGCCGGAAGGUUAAUUGAUGGGGUCAGCGCAAGCGAAGCUCUUGAUCGAAGCCCCGGUAAACGGCGGCCGUAACUAUAACGGUCCUAAGGUAGCGAAAUUCCUUGUCGGGUAAGUUCCGACCUGCACGAAUGGCGUAAUGAUGGCCAGGCUGUCUCCACCCGAGACUCAGUGAAAUUGAACUCGCUGUGAAGAUGCAGUGUACCCGCGGCAAGACGGAAAGACCCCGUGAACCUUUACUAUAGCUUGACACUGAACAUUGAGCCUUGAUGUGUAGGAUAGGUGGGAGGCUUUGAAGUGUGGACGCCAGUCUGCAUGGAGCCGACCUUGAAAUACCACCCUUUAAUGUUUGAUGUUCUAACGUGGACCCGUAAUCCGGGUUGCGGACAGUGUCUGGUGGGUAGUUUGACUGGGGCGGUCUCCUCCUAAAGAGUAACGGAGGAGCACGAAGGUUGGCUAAUCCUGGUCGGACAUCAGGAGGUUAGUGCAAUGGCAUAAGCCAGCUUGACUGCGAGCGUGACGGCGCGAGCAGGUGCGAAAGCAGGUCAUAGUGAUCCGGUGGUUCUGAAUGGAAGGGCCAUCGCUCAACGGAUAAAAGGUACUCCGGGGAUAACAGGCUGAUACCGCCCAAGAGUUCAUAUCGACGGCGGUGUUUGGCACCUCGAUGUCGGCUCAUCACAUCCUGGGGCUGAAGUAGGUCCCAAGGGUAUGGCUGUUCGCCAUUUAAAGUGGUACGCGAGCUGGGUUUAGAACGUCGUGAGACAGUUCGGUCCCUAUCUGCCGUGGGCGCUGGAGAACUGAGGGGGGCUGCUCCUAGUACGAGAGGACCGGAGUGGACGCAUCACUGGUGUUCGGGUUGUCAUGCCAAUGGCACUGCCCGGUAGCUAAAUGCGGAAGAGAUAAGUGCUGAAAGCAUCUAAGCACGAAACUUGCCCCGAGAUGAGUUCUCCCUGACCCUUUAAGGGUCCUGAAGGAACGUUGAAGACGACGACGUUGAUAGGCCGGGUGUGUAAGCGCAGCGAUGCGUUGAGCUAACCGGUACUAAUGAACCGUGAGGCUUAACCU